rnacentral:rRNA from 1 species
GACAGAGGCAUCGAGCGUUAGGCGGAAUCACUGGGCUUAAAGCGUGUGUAGGCGGAUCGUUAAGUGUCUUGAGAAAUCCCACGGCUCAACCGUGGAACGGCUGGGCAUACUGGCGAUCUUGAGCAGCCUAGGGGCGACCGGAACAAACGGUGGAGCGGUGAAAUGCGUAGAUAUCAGGAGGAACACCCGUAGCGAAGGCGGCACACUGGGCCGAUACUGACGCUGAGGAGCGAAAGCGUGGGGAGCGAACAGG